rnacentral:rRNA from 1 species
CAGUAGCCGCGGUAAUACAGAGGGUGCAAGCGUUAAUCGGAAUUACUGGGCGUAAAGCGCGCGUAGGUGGUUUGUUAAGUUGGAUGUGAAAUCCCCGGGCUCAACCUGGGAACUGCAUCCAAAACUGGCAAGCUAGAGUAUGGUAGAGGGUGGUGGAAUUUCCUGUGUAGCGGUGAAAUGCGUAGAUAUAGGAAGGAACACCAGUGGCGAAGGCGACCACCUGGACUGAUACUGACACUGAGGUGCGAAAGCGUGGGGAGCAAACAGGAUUAGAUACCCGCGUAGUCCCUGUCUCUUAUAA